rnacentral:rRNA from 2 species
CAGUGGCGAACGGGUGAGUAACACGUGGGCAAUCUGCCCUGCACUCUGGGACAAGCCCUGGAAACGGGGUCUAAUACCGGAUAUUACCUUCCUCUGCAUGGGGGUUGGUGGAAAGCUCCGGCGGUGCAGGAUGAGCCCGCGGCCUAUCAGCUUGUUGGUGGGGUAAUGGCCUACCAAGGCGACGACGGGUAGCCGGCCUGAGAGGGCGACCGGCCACACUGGGACUGAGACACGGCCCAGACUCCUACGGGAGGCAGCAGUGGGGAAUAUUGCACAAUGGGCGAAAGCCUGAUGCAGCGACGCCGCGUGAGGGAUGACGGCCUUCGGGUUGUAAACCUCUUUCAGCAGGGAAGAAGCGAAAGUGACGGUACCUGCAGAAGAAGCACCGGCUAACUACGUGCCAGCAGCCGCGGUAAUACGUAGGGUGCGAGCGUUGUCCGGAAUUAUUGGGCGUAAAGAGCUCGUAGGCGGCCUGUCGCGUCGGUUGUGAAAGCCCGGGGCUUAACCCCGGGUCUGCAGUCGAUACGGGCAGGCUAGAGUUCGGUAGGGGAGAUCGGAAUUCCU